AGGUCAUUUAUCACAGUUCCCACUUCCCAUAGGUUAAGGGCUGAUAUGGCCAUUAACUCUCUCCUUCUUUCUUCCAGACUGCACUUCAGAGUUGCUCUUGUUUGCAGGUGUGUGGGUUUCUGAAACUUCAGGGAAGGCCUGAAGCAGAGAAGCAGAAAAGUACAAGGUACACUAAAGGUGGGACUGUCAGCUUGAGUCUGAGCUCACGUGGAACUUUUCACUACUGCUGCAACCAAAAUCAGAUGAUCUCUGUGAUCUGCCUUAACCAGUACAAUAUGGCAGAAAUGACACAGGGCAAGAGCUGGGUCUAAGCCUUGAGAGACCGCAUGGGAAAACCACAGUGAGAGGCCACUUGGAGAGGUGACGUGGGGAAGGAGAGGCUCCAAGACCACGUGGAGAAAUGAGGAACCUAACCCAAACCUCUAACAGCAGCCGCAGCCAAAUACUUGCAUUGAGCCAUUCCAGCUGUCUUCCUGCUGCUAGCCAUCCAAUCUAAGGUGCCAGGCAUGAGAAGAAGCCACAUUGCCCCUGCAGACUCAGCAGAUGUUGUGUGGAGCAGAGAUAAGCUGUCCCCACUAAGCCCUUUCCAAAUUUCUAACCCACAGAAUAAAGAAAAAGAGUAAAAGAGUGGUUUCUUUGAGCCACUAGACAACAAGUGAUAACUGAAUGAUCUGCCCUCUGGUAUGGUGGAGCACCUUUUUGUAUAUGCAUUGACCACUUGCUUUGCUUUACUCUUUUGUAAAUUACUUAUUUAUAUCUUCUUUUUUUCUUGGAUUGUGUUUUGCUUUUCUGUUCGUAGAGGUUAUUUAUAUAAUCUGGAUUUGAAUCCUUUAUUGUUUGGGUAUAUUACAAAUAUCUUCUCUGGCUUAUCAAUUCACCUUUGUAUGAUCUUUUGACAAUCACAAGUUUUUAAUUGCAAUUGAAUUGAAAUCACCAAUCUUUCUUAUUAGAUUUUGUGCUUAUUGUGUUUUGCAUCAGGAAUCCUUCUCAACCCUAAAGCCAUGAAAAAUUUCUCUAUAUCUCCUUCUAAAAUAUUGAAUGUGUUUUUUAAAAUUUUUGUUUUAAAUUGACCUAGAAUAGUUUUUGGUUAUAUUGUCAAGUAGGAAUUGAAUUUCACUUUAUUUCCAUAUAAAUAACAAUUGACUUCAUAUUGUUAAUUGAAUAGCCUUUCCUUUUCCCAUUGAUCAAAAAUGUCACCUCUACCACAAAGCAACUUUCCCAUACAUGUCUGACUCUUUCUGAGCUGCAUGCUCCAUCAGUCUAUUUGCUCCGCCCCACACCAAUAGCAAACUGUCUCUAUUACUGUAACUUUUUAAGAAUUAUUGUUAUGUGCUAGGAUGAGUUGCCACCACUUAUCCUUCCUCAAAGUCAGUUUGACUAUUCUUGGCCCAUUCUUAUCCCAUUAUCUGGGAUGAAUGUUCUUCCACGUAAAUUAUACAAUCAAGCCAGCAAAUUCCAAAGUUAACCCUAUAAAGAAUCUGAUUUAUAGAAUACUUUGAGGAUAAUUUGUAUUUAUGAUAUUGAGUUUUCCUAUCCACGAAUGUGAUGUAUCAUUCCAUUUAUUUAGGAACCUUUCAAUGUGUUUGAAUAAAGUUUAAUAAUUUCUUCAGAAAGGUCACAAACAUUUGUUCUUAGAUUUAUUCUUUUAUAUCUUACAUUUUUGUUGUUGUUCCCACUGAAAUUUGUAUUUUUUAAAUUGCAUUUUCUGACUAUUCGUUGCUGGUAAAUAGGAGUGCAUCUAAUUUUUGUACAUUUGUGUCUAACAGCCAUCCAUCAUAUUAAUUAUAAUGUUUUUAUGUAGAUAAUUACGUAACUUUCAAAUAGUAAUUUUCUUUUCUUCUGUUACAAUUACCUUUUCUUUUGCUGGUCUUCAUGUGUGAACCACAACCUCUUGUAAAAUGUUAAAUAAAAGUGGUGAUGGGGCAUCCUUUUCCCAUUCCUAA